rnacentral:rRNA from 1 species
AGAGUUUGAUCAUGGCUCAGAUUGAACGCUGGCGGCAGGCCUAACACAUGCAAGUCGAGCGGUAGCACAGAGAGCUUGCUCUCGGGUGACGAGCGGCGGACGGGUGAGUAAUGUCUGGGAAACUGCCUGAUGGAGGGGAUAACUACUGGAAACGGUAGCUAAUACCGCAUAAUGUCGCAAGACCAAAGUGGGGGACCUUCGGGCCUCAUGCCAUCAGAUGUGCCCAGAUGGGAUUAGCUAGUAGGUGGGGUAACGGCUCACCUAGGCGACGAUCCCUAGCUGGUCUGAGAGGAUGACCAGCCACACUGGAACUGAGACACGGUCCAGACUCCUACGGGAGGCAGCAGUGGGGAAUAUUGCACAAUGGGCGCAAGCCUGAUGCAGCCAUGCCGCGUGUGUGAAGAAGGCCUUCGGGUUGUAAAGCACUUUCAGCGGGGAGGAAGGCGGUGAGGUUAAUAACCUCAUCGAUUGACGUUACCCGCAGAAGAAGCACCGGCUAACUCCGUGCCAGCAGCCGCGGUAAUACGGAGGGUGCAAGCGUUAAUCGGAAUUACUGGGCGUAAAGCGCACGCAGGCGGUCUGUCAAGUCGGAUGUGAAAUCCCCGGGCUCAACCUGGGAACUGCAUUCGAAACUGGCAGGCUAGAGUCUUGUAGAGGGGGGUAGAAUUCCAGGUGUAGCGGUGAAAUGCGUAGAGAUCUGGAGGAAUACCGGUGGCGAAGGCGGCCCCCUGGACAAAGACUGACGCUCAGGUGCGAAAGCGUGGGGAGCAAACAGGAUUAGAUACCCUGGUAGUCCACGCCGUAAACGAUGUCGAUUUGGAGGUUGUGCCCUUGAGGCGUGGCUUCCGGAGCUAACGCGUUAAAUCGACCGCCUGGGGAGUACGGCCGCAAGGUUAAAACUCAAAUGAAUUGACGGGGGCCCGCACAAGCGGUGGAGCAUGUGGUUUAAUUCGAUGCAACGCGAAGAACCUUACCUGGUCUUGACAUCCACAGAACUUUCCAGAGAUGGAUUGGUGCCUUCGGGAACUGUGAGACAGGUGCUGCAUGGCUGUCGUCAGCUCGUGUUGUGAAAUGUUGGGUUAAGUCCCGCAACGAGCGCAACCCUUAUCCUUUGUUGCCAGCGGUCCGGCCGGGAACUCAAAGGAGACUGCCAGUGAUAAACUGGAGGAAGGUGGGGAUGACGUCAAGUCAUCAUGGCCCUUACGACCAGGGCUACACACGUGCUACAAUGGCAUAUACAAAGAGAAGCGACCUCGCGAGAGCAAGCGGACCUCAUAAAGUAUGUCGUAGUCCGGAUUGGAGUCUGCAACUCGACUCCAUGAAGUCGGAAUCGCUAGUAAUCGUAGAUCAGAAUGCUACGGUGAAUACGUUCCCGGGCCUUGUACACACCGCCCGUCACACCAUGGGAGUGGGUUGCAAAAGAAGUAGGUAGCUUAACCUUCGGGAGGGCGCUUACCACUUUGUGAUUCAUGACUGGGGUGAAGUCGUAACAAGGUAACCGUAGGGGAACCUGCGGUUGGAUCACCU